CCCUCGCAUACUCAUUGUUGUCUCCAAGGUUGAUAUGACCACAACUGUACUAGGUUUUAAGAUAUCGACCAUGAUUGCUCCAACAGCAAUGUAGAAGAUGGCCCAUCCUGAUGGUAUGGUUUUCCUGCACCUUGGGUGUCUUUCAUUUGCACCAAGUUUCAGGAUGUAUACAAAUUUUAUUGCCUUUACCAUGACACUAUCGAAAUCAGCUGGCCUUCUUAGAUUCAUGAUCUGAAGUUGCAAUGUGGUAUCCUUUUUUCUUCUGCUUUUAUAUUGUGAAGUGUGGAUGAGUUUUUGAACCACAUGCUUGGAUAUCAUCUAAGAAAUUGAAUUACUGCAUUUAGUUGCUAUUGUCGCCUCAGGCAAAAGUGUCAAGCUAUCUACCAUAUUAAUAUUUUGCAUUGCUGCAUCUUACAAAUGAACCUUCUAAUGUUGAAUCUCUUGUUAUGCCUCAGGAGAGUAUGCUACCGCAAGAGCAGCAUCGGCAGUUGGCACUAUUACAGUUGACUAUUGUUUCUUGUGUUUUUUGUGGUCUAAUAAUUUGAUCCUAAUUAUACUUGAGCAUCAUAUAUGGACCUUAGAGACUAUCAAGAUCAUUCAGUUAGCCAAUAGACAAACUGCAGUUGCUAGGAAGUCAUGGUAAUCCGAGUGAUUGGACAAACAAAUUUUUGGCAUGACAAAGCUUCAUGUAGAAUUGAAUUUUGUCCACUUCGAAGUCCAUAAUUCUUUUUGCAGAAACUUAUUUUGGAAUUUCUUAUCAAACUUAUCUAAAUUGGUGACCAAGUUGGCUGACCUUUUUUCUACACAAAAGAAGAGAUAGCAUAUGGAGAUUGUGAGUAGCAAAUGUAAGUACAUUUUGGUGGGAAAUUUGUGUCAUGUUCAUUCUUGGUAUAGACUUCCUAUUAUUAUCUUGGUUAUGCAUUGACUGUCUUUGUAUGAAUAAUGGUGCUAUGCUUCAUGAAUGAAAACACCUCUUGACAGAUAUCUCUUCUGCACUGCAAAAUCCACCAUCCUCAAGAAAGAUAAUGACUAUGAACUCUUAUGUUCUGAUUGUCUCAAUGCAGAUUGAUUAUUAUUUAAGAAAAUUUAAGGAGGAAGUCAUUUACAGGACGAAGUGCAAUGCCUUAACUGUAUCAUAUACAAAAAUGGUGUCUGAGUCCCUGAUUUGGUGGAGCAAUCUACCAAGCAGCAUGGAUUAAUCAAGAGAACUGAAUAGAGAAGCACAAAUUUGUUAGAUUUGCUUCAUUGUGCACUUGAGACUUCCACUUGCCAAAACACUGUCAUCAUGGGCAACUUCCAGAAUCGAAGAGGUUGCUUCUACAGGACCAGGAAUUUGAUUCUUCCAGCUCUAUGUGUAUAAGGAUAGGCAUGUAGUUGCACAGCUUGUCCAAAGAACUGAAAGAGCAGGAUUCAAGGCAAUACCACUUACAGUCGACACUCCAAGACAUGGCUGGAGAUAAGCAGACAUCAAGAACAGAUUCACUUUGCCACCAUUUUUUACACUCAAAAAACUUUGAGGGUUUGGACCUUGGAAAGAUGGACAAGACCGAUGACUCUGGCCUUCCUCAUAUGUAGCGGGUCAAAUUGAUCGAUCAUUAAGCUGGAAGCGAGACUUGCCAUUCAAGCGGGUGCAGCUGGUAUCACUGUCUCCAACCAUGGAGCUCGUCAGCUUGAUUACGUUCCAGCUACAAUCAGUGCACUGGAAGAGGU